rnacentral:rRNA from 1 species
UACGUAGGGUGCGAGCGUUAAUCGGAAUUACUGGGCGUAAAGCGUGCGCAGGCGGUUUUGUAAGCCAGAUGUGAAAUCCCCGGGCUUAACCUGGGAAUGGCAUUUGGGACUGCAAGGCUUGAGUUUGGCAGAGGAGACUGGAAUUCCUGGUGUAGCAGUGAAAUGCGCAGAUAUCAGGAGGAACACCGGUGGCGAAGGCGGGUCUCUGGGCAAUAACUGACGCUGAGGAGCGAAAGCGUGGGGAGCGAACAGG